AAUAGAUACCCCGGUAGUCCACCCCGUAAACGUUGGGAACUAGUUGUGGGGACCAUUCCACGGUUUCCGUGACGCAGCUAACGCAUUAAGUUCCCCGCCUGGGGAGUACGGCCGCAAGGCUAAAAACUCAAAGGAAUUGACGGGGACCCGCACAAGCGGCGGAGCAUGCGGAUUAAUUCGAUGCAACGCGAAGAACCUUACCAGGGCUUGACAUGUUGAGGACCGCCGGUGAAAGUCGGCUUCCCUUCGGGGCCUCAACACAGAUGCUGCAUGGUCGUCGUCAGCUCGUGCCGUGAGGUGUUGGGUUAAGUCCCGCAACGAGCGCAACCCCUGUCGCCAGUUGUACUUCUCUGGCGAGACUGCCCGGAGCAACCGGGAGGAAGGCGGGGAUGAUGUCAGAUCAGCAUGGCUCUUACGUCCUGGGCCACUCGCACGCUACAAUGGGCAGUACAGACCGUUGCGAAACCGUGAGGUGAAGCUAAUCGGAUAAAGCUGUCCUCAGUUCGGAUUGCAGGCUGCAACCCGCUGCAUGAAGGCCGG
rnacentral:rRNA from 1 species